AGACCCGAAACCCGGUGAUCUAGCCAUGGGCAGGUUGAAGGUUGGGUAACACUAACUGGAGGACCGAACCGACUAAUGUUGAAAAAUUAGCGGAUGACCUGUGGCUGGGGGUGAAAGGCCAAUCAAACCGGGAGAUAGCUGGUUCUCCCCGAAAGCUAUUUAGGUAGCGCCUCGUGAAUUCAUCUCCGGGGGUAGAGCACUGUUUCGGCUAGGGGGCCAUCCCGGCUUACCAACCCGAUGCAAACUGCGAAUACCGGAGAAUGUUAUCACGGGAGACACACGGCGGGUGCUAACGUCCGUCGUGAAGAGGGAAACAACCCAGACCGCCAGCUAAGGUCCCAAAGUCAUGGUUAAGUGGGAAACGAUGUGGGAAGGCCCAGACAGCCAGGAUGUUGGCUUAGAAGCAGCCAUCAUUUAAAGAAAGCGUAAUAGCUCACUGGUCGAGUCGGCCUGCGCGGAAGAUGUAACGGGGCUAAACCAUGCACCGAAGCUGCGGCAGCGAACGUAUCACCCAAGACAACUUUACGGAGUUGACGAUUGACGGAGCGAAGCGACGUCAAAGCGUUCAUUAAAGUCGAGUUGGCUUAGGGAUACGUUCGUUGGGUAGGGGAGCGUUCUGUAAGCCUGUGAAGGUGUGUCGUGAGGCAUGCUGGAGGUAUCAGAAGUGCGAAUGCUGACAUAAGUAACGAUAAAGCGGGUGAAAAGCCCGCUCGCCGGAAGACCAAGGGUUCCUGUCCAACGUUAAUCGGGGCAGGGUGAGUCGACCCCUAAGGCGAGGCCGAAAGGCGUAGUCGAUGGGAAACGGGUUAAUAUUCCCGUACUUGGUGUUACUGCGAAGGGGGGACGGAGAAGGCUAUGUUGGCCGGGCGACGGUUGUCCCGGUUUAAGCGUGUAGGUGUGUGUUCCAGGUAAAUCCGGUUCACUUUAACACUGAGGCGUGACGACGAGGCACUACGGUGCUGAAGCAACAAAUGCCCUGCUUCCAGGAAAAGCCUCUAAGCAUCAGGUAACACGAAAUCGUACCCCAAACCGACACAGGUGGUCAGGUAGAGAAUACCAAGGCGCUUGAGAGAACUCGGGUGAAGGAACUAGGCAAAAUGGUGCCGUAACUUCGGGAGAAGGCACGCUGAC
rnacentral:rRNA from 2 species